AAAUGCAAGUGGGGGAGCUAGCUGCGGAGUUCCGUUGGCGUCGCCAGGUGGUGGGUUAGGUGAGCAAGAGUGGGGGCUGCUGGGUUAGGUGAGCAGGAGAGGGAGUUUUAAAGGGGUUAGAAGGAGGAGAGGGGGUUGCAAAGAGGAGGGGGCUAGGUUAGGGUCAAGCGAUCCUCAGUUAGGAGGUUAGGUUACGUCAACGACCAGUAGCUCUCUCAUUACCGCCGGUCAGAUAUAUUUGAGGGUCAUGCCACACACGGAGUGACCUUGGUACCGCCCGCCGCCUCGCCCGCCUACUCGCCUUCAGCCGCUACCUGUCGCUCAGCUCCGGAAGCACUGCCGGCCGCCGCGUUGUGCGCCGGCGCCUCCUAGACCAAGACCUCCGGGAGUGGCACGAGCACGUCGGUUCAAAGCUGGCGCAAACGGGAGCAUGUAGGCAGCCGCCGCCGUUAAGCCAACGCCGCGGUUCUAGGAACUGGACCUGCUCCUGCAUCCCUGACUACCACUUCGUCCACAUCCGGCACCUCCGCGACAUGGGCCGCGACGUCGCCCAGUACGCCGAUUGGUCCAGCCGUGCCGUCGUCCACAACCCGUCCACGACCCCUACAACACCUCUUCUACGUGUUCGUGAUGAUCGAGGUAUUCAACCGACCUACGUUAGAAGUUAAUCAAACCGACCUACAUUACAGAAGAAGACCACGACUUAGUAUGUACCGAAGUAGACGACUUAGCAGUUCGAGAAGAAGGAGUUUAACUUAGAGAUAUAGCGGACGUAUGUGUGGUAUCAGAAGGAGCAGUUGAGCUUCCAAUACAUCUCGAAGUAGGUAACGAACGUGAAGGAGAAGGUACGAGACCUUUUGUGGCGGAACCGGAAGUUCAAGUACCAGAUGUUCCAAGAGAAGAGGUGCCCGUUGUAGCCGUAGUACAAGGAGAAGAGGUACCCGUUACAGUCCGAGUUCAAGCAGGAGAUACCGCUUCUUCUUAGUAGUUGUACACGUGUACUUGUUCCUCUUGUUUCCUCAUCUACUAGUUCUACAUGGACCCAGGUACAAGUCUAGCUAAACCACUGGUUGGACCUCGAGAAGGAGUACGUUCCCUCUGAGUACAAGUAGAAGAGGCCGCUUAACCACCGGCCUGACCUCAUGAAGUACGUUCACUCCGAGUUUUGGCUGUACCUCAAGAAGUACGUUCCGUCGGAGUUCAAGCAGGAGAUACCGCUUCUUCUUAGUAAUCGUACGCGUGUACUUGUUCCUCUUGUUUACUUUUCUACCAGUUCUACAUGGACCCAAGUUCAAGUCUAGCUAAACUACUGGUUGGACCUCGUGAAGAAGUACGUUCCCUCAGAGUACAAGUUGAAGAGGGAGAAGACCACGAUACAAGUUCAGUUACCGGUACCAGACAGACACACAACAUGAUGAACCAGACCACGAUCACACGGUCGAAAUAUCGACACAUAUCAGAGAACCGGAAGAUUUAAACUUUAGACCCGAGUUAAUACAUUAGACCGCGAAGAUUAAGAUAUUAUACCGCGAAGAUUAAGAUAUUAGACCGCGGUAUAACAUGAUCAUGAGGGAGGCAAAAAUAAAUGAGACGUAUAAUCUCAACUGACUUCAGUUUGAAGCAUUUCAAACUGGUUCAAAUAUCUUUUGUUAUAUCUGU
rnacentral:rRNA from 1 species